rnacentral:rRNA from 1 species
UACGUAGGGGGCAAGCGUUGUCCGGAUUUACUGGGCGUAAAGAGCGGCGUAAGGCGGAAAUUUAAGCGUGGCCUUGAAAGCCCCCGGCUCAACCGGGGAGUGACGGCUGCGAACUGGGUUUCUUGAGGACGAUAGAGGAGAGUGGAAUUCCGUGGUGUAGCGGUGGAAAUGCGUAGAUAUCAAGGAGGAACACCCGAGGCGAAGGCGGCGUCUCUGGGUCGU